GCCCAGGUAGCUCAGUCGGUAGAGCACGUCCUUGGUAAGGACGAGGUCGGCGGUUCGAUCCCGCUCCUGGGCU
rfam:Deltaproteobacteria bacterium RIFCSPLOWO2_12_FTLL_57_22 rifcsplowo2_12_scaffold_456, whole genome shotgun sequence.